UGAGCUUCAGUGAGAACAAGGAGCAGCCUUUAGCUGGAGGCACAGGGAAGCUGAGGAGCUGGAGAUGAGGCAGCACAGCUGGCAAGACAUAAACAUGCGAGGGCCCUGUGCAGUGGAGCAGGAUGGGUGUUUUUGGGGCACACAGGACACAUCCCCUGCUGCCAUUUGUCAUCUGUAUGGGCGGGCAUCAAUCCAGCUGAAAAACACACAUGAAAACUCCCUGAGGGGCUCACAGAGACAGGAGUUCCCUUCUCUUUGAAUUGCCAUUUGUAUUCCGAGUGUUGUGUAAACAUUAAAUAUUUAAAACA